GAAAAGCCCGCUCGCCGGAAGACCAAGGGUUCCUGUCCAACGUUAAUCGGGGCAGGGUGAGUCGACCCCUAAGGCGAGGCCGAAAGGCGUAGUCGAUGGGAAACGGGUUAAUAUUCCCGUACUUGGUGUUACUGCGAAGGGGGGACGGAGAAGGCUAUGUUGGCCGGGCGACGGUUGUCCCGGUUUAAGCGUGUAGGUGUGUGUUCCAGGUAAAUCCGGUUCACUUUAACACUGAGGCGUGACGACGAGGCACUACGGUGCUGAAGCAACAAAUGCCCUGCUUCCAGGAAAAGCCUCUAAGCAUCAGGUAACAUCAAAUCGUACCCCAAACCGACACAGGUGGUCAGGUAGAGAAUACCAAGGCGCUUGAGAGAACUCGGGUGAAGGAACUAGGCAAAAUGGUGCCGUAACUUCGGGAGAAGGCACGCUGACACGUAGGUGAAGUGAUUUACUCAUGGAGCUGAAGUCAGUCGAAGAUACCAGCUGGCUGCAACUGUUUAUUAAAAACACAGCACUGUGCAAACACGAAAGUGGACGUAUACGGUGUGACGCCUGCCCGGUGCCGGAAGGUUAAUUGAUGGGGUCAGCGCAAGCGAAGCUCCUGAUCGAAGCCCCGGUAAACGGCGGCCGUAACUAUAACGGUCCUAAGGUAGCGAAAUUCCUUGUCGGGUAAGUUCCGACCUGCACGAAUGGCGUAAUGAUGGCCAGGCUGUCUCCACCCGAGACUCAGUGAAAUUGAACUCGCUGUGAAGAUGCAGUGUACCCGCGGCAAGACGGAAAGACCCCGUGAACCUUUACUAUAGCUUGACACUGAACAUUGAGCCUUGAUGUGUAGGAUAGGUGGGAGGCUUUGAAGCGUGGACGCCAGUCUGCGUGGAGCCGACCUUGAAAUACCACCCUUUAAUGUUUGAUGUUCUAACGUGGACCCGUUACCCGGGUUGCGGACAGUGUCUGGUGGGUAGUUUGACUGGGGCGGUCUCCUCCUAAAGAGUAACGGAGGAGCACGAAGGUUGGCUAAUCCUGGUCGGACAUCAGGAGGUUAGUGCAAUGGCAUAAGCCAGCUUGACUGCGAGCGUGACGGCGCGAGCAGGUGCGAAAGCAGGUCAUAGUGAUCCGGUGGUUCUGAAUGGAAGGGCCAUCGCUCAACGGAUAAAAGGUACUCCGGGGAUAACAGGCUGAUACCGCCCAAGAGUUCAUAUCGACGGCGGUGUUUGGCACCUCGAUGUCGGCUCAUCACAUCCUGGGGCUGAAGUAGGUCCCAAGGGUAUGGCUGUUCGCCAUUUAAAGUGGUACGCGAGCUGGGUUUAGAACGUCGUGAGACAGUUCGGUCCCUAUCUGCCGUGGGCGCUGGAGAACUGAGGGGGGCUGCUCCUAGUACGAGAGGACCGGAGUGGACGCAUCACUGGUGUUCGGGUUGUCAUGCCAAUGGCACUGCCCGGUAGCUAAAUGCGGAAGAGAUAAGUGCUGAAAGCAUCUAAGCACGAAACUUGCCCCGAGAUGAGUUCUCCCUGAGACUUAGAGUCUCCUGAAGGAACGUUGAAGACGACGACGUUGAUAGGCCGGGUGUGUAAGCGCAGCGAUGCGUUGAGCUAACCGGUACUAAUGAACCGUGAGGCUUAACCUUACAACGCCGAAGCUGUU
rnacentral:rRNA from 1 species